UACAGAGGGUGCAAGCGUUAAUCGGAAUUACUGGGCGUAAAGCGUGCGUAGGUGGUUUGUUAAGUCAGGCGUGAAAUCCCUGGGCUCAACCUGGGAACUGCGCUUGAUACUGGCAGACUCGAGUGUGGUAGAGGGUAGUGGAAUUCCGCAUGUAGCAGUGAAAUGCGUAGAUAUGCGGAGGAACACCAGUGGCGAAGGCGGCUACCUGGACCAACACUGACACUGAGGCACGAAAGCGUGGGGAGCAAACAGG
rnacentral:rRNA from 2 species